rnacentral:rRNA from 1 species
UGAGUAACGCGUGGGAAACCUGCCCUAGUACUGGGGGAUAGCAGUUGGAAACGACUGAUAAUACCGCAUAAGCGCACAGCUUCGCAUGAAGCAGUGUGAAAAACUCCGGUGGUAUAGGAUGGUCCCGCGGUCUGAUUAGCUAGUUGGUGAGGUAACGGCCCACCAAGGCGACGAUCAGUAGCCGGCCUGAGAGGGUGUACGGCCACAUUGGGACUGAGACACGGCCCAAACUCCUACGGGAGGCAGCAGUGGGGAAUAUUGGACAAUGGGGGAAACCCUGAUCCAGCGACGCCGCGUGAACGAUGAAGUAUUUCGGUAUGUAAAGUUCUAUCAGCAGGGAAGAUAAUGACGGUACCUGACUAAGAAGCACCGGCUAAAUACGUGCCAGCCGCAGC